GGGGGUGAAACGGUCUCGACUGGUUUGGUUCGGGUUAAGGGCUGCAGGUGGAGUGUCAAUCUCCUAAAAAAUGUCGCAAAUAUAACUGCCGAUAAUAAUGAAGCAGAAUUAGCUCUGGCUGCUUAGUUGCAGUCACGGAUUCCAAAGAGGCCCUGUUCCGAGCAGCUUUGGAUAUCCGACGCUAAAUCGGAACUUACCCUUUUAUAUGUCUGCCGUUAAAAGGGGAAAUAAAUUUGCAGGCUGUGAUAGUAAUGGGUAUGCUGCUAACGCCGUCUUACUAUCGAGAAAAUAAUGGGCAGCUAAACCUGUAGAAGCUUUUAAUUCACAAUCCAGGACGCGGGUUCAACUCCCGCCACCUCCAUUU
rnacentral:tmRNA from 1 species